GUCAGGUUGGCCGAGUGGUCUAAGGCGCCAGAUUUAAGAUCUGGUUCCCUCGGGAGCGUGGGUUCGAACCCCACACCUGACA
rnacentral:tRNA from 1 species